GGCCGAGAGAGCCAACCCUAUAGAUAGUUCCACAAAUUAUGUCGGCCAUAUGUCUUGAUAGCCAUACAGCACCCACCAACACAAGGGGUGGGCGUGGCAUACAUAGCCAACCGACCCUUUUAAUCUUAAAUUUAACCCCCUCCCGUUCCUCAUAUAGCCCACCCUCACCAGGCCUGGCUUCCUAUCUCGCGAUGUGGGACUAUCGUCCUCCACCCGCUUCUCUCAUCGUCGAUCUCGCGAGCUUCCUCGGCCGGGAGCACACCCAUGCCCAGCUAAUCAUCGGCGCGAGCAAGGGUUUCUUUGCGUCAGGGUUCACCUUGUGGGGGAAAAAGAUCGCAUCUUGCUUGGGAAUCGGAGUUUGCAACAGUAAUCGGCGGAUGACAUCCUUCAGAAAUAAGAUUACAGAACAGCACAUUAAGGCUGUCAGCGUCAACAACGAGUGUAGAAAACAAAGAAAAAUGCUCACAUACACAAAAAGCAUUUGCGAGUGCAGUCUUGUCAUCCUUUACGAGGCUACCGCCGGCGUUAGAAGCCGAGUUGCUUAUGCACAGAACAACAAGAUGUUGGAGAAGCCAAAGCCACCUCCGCCGACCAUCCUUUGCCUUGUGGAUAGAAUUCAAAGCAGAAGGUGCCGAUAAAAUCGAUGAUUGCCAAUAUAAAUUAUUUGUUUGCGUGAGGCAUUCUUCCCGUAUUAAUUCUUAGAUGUGGCUGAGCUGAUACAAUUCGAAACCUGGCUCUUUGUCUUCAAGCUUCUUUGCUAACUUCUCUUUGAGUUGGUCUACGAGGCUGACAAAUGCAGUGCGAAAUAAUGCAGGAAAAAUAAGAUAUUUUACGAGAA